rnacentral:rRNA from 1 species
UACGAAGGGUGCAAGCGUUACUCGGAAUUAUUGGGCGUAAAGAGCUCGUAGGCGGCCUGUUGCGUCCGCUGUGAAAUCCCGGGGCUCAACCCCGGGCCUGCAGUGGAUACGGGCUGGCUAGAGGCAGGCAGGGGAGAACGGAAUUCCUGGUGUAGCGGUGAAAUGCGCAGAUAUCAGGAGGAACACCGGUGGCGAAGGCGGUUCUCUGGGCCUGUACUGACGCUGAGGAGCGAAAGCGUGGGGAGCGAACAGG